GGUGCCUCAUCUCCUCUCGCGAGCGCGGCUUCAGUUUCCCUUUCUAUCUCUUCAAUAUCCAAUGUCGUGCUGCUACCGCCGUCGGCGCCGCCGUCAACGCCUCCGCCUCCGCCUCGUCCUCUUGGGGUUUCUGAUGCUGCCGCUCCGACGAAGGUCGCCGCGCCGCUGGUGCUUAGAUUCAUGGAGGGGAACAGCAGCCACGCCACACGGCAUGCCUCGCCGUGCCGCAUGGUGGCCGAGAGGCGGCCGCCCCAUGCUCUGCCUGCGCCGUCUCAUCGUCUUCAUCGACAGGAGGCAUCUCUGCCGGCCUUAUCCCAUCACCAUCGCCUCCCUUCCCUACGAGAGCGACGGAUCCAAUAGCUUGAGCUCGGAUCGCUUCCAGGUGCUUGCGGCCGCCGCCCAGCUUGCGCUCACUUGCUGACCUUGAACUCUAGCCGCAGCAGAUCGUCCAUGAGUCCAGCUUCUACUCGAUCCUGGCGUCCAGGGGUGUGGUUACGAUUGCUUCUUCUAGACACAUUACCAGGAAUCUGGCUUGAAUAUGCAGUCUCUCACAAUGGAAGAGAUCAUGUUAUGCAGUCUCGCAUAAUGGAAAAGAGAAGAUGAUUUUAUGUCAAUUGGACUCUACAUGGAUGGAAAUGAAAACACCAGAACUAAUAUAAUACCAAGGCUCAAACCAGAGUUGGACGACCUCUUAUCUCUAAACAAUAGAAAUGCAGAGCAGUCCAUGGAAGCUUCCCUACGCUAUUACCGCACCGCUUGAUAUACUGAACUUGAUUCCUCGGUGCAUAUAAAAUGAUACGACUGUAUUUACAUUGGAGUAGGCAAGUAAUGGUUUCUAGAAGAUAGACAAGAUCAAGGACUCCAACAGGCACACUGGCGGCUCGAAGAACUCACUGGGAAGAUGAGCGAGUGCAAGCGGUAAGUCUUGUUGAACGCUGUCGUUGUUGUUCCUACUUGAGCCUGCAAUUUCAUAUCUUCUGCAUGUGGCAUGAUGAAUUUUAUCAAUUUCUUUACUUGGAGAAUGUAUCACCGCCGAGUUCUUUUUUACGUAGAUAUAUGCCAUGGCUUCUUGCAGCUUAAUCAAAGAAUUUGAUUGUGUACUCAAAGAUGAAGAGAAAAGGAAUACUUCUGAGGCCAACAAACAACUAAAUGUCAGGAAGCAAUUUAUGGUUGGCAGUUUCCUUCAUUGACGUCUUUGUUGUGUCAUGUUCCACAAUGUACCAAAGUAGCCUUGCAAUAAGAGGAUUGAACUAUUCGAUGCUGGUAAUGACCAGUUUUUGCAGAAAUGUCAAAUCAACAACUCAUUCAUUCUGGAAUGAAACAAAUGGACCAAACAGACCAAGCUAUUGAGCAUUCGAAAACGGCGCACUGCAAACUUACACUCUAUUUUGUUGUUCAUUCUUUCAUAAGGUAUUUAGAUAGAGGAAAUUAGGUGCUCCUCUACCUCUCUCUCACUCGCAUUUUGAUUGCCUAAUAUGCCGAUUUUCUAAAGGUGAUGUGUGCAGCUCCCUCCUGGUUUUAGUUUGAGCAUGCUUCUCUCCAUGGGCCUCUCUAUUUAGGAUUUGUGUGGAUCUUGAUUCAUAGCAGCACAAACUUGGAUAUGCUUCUUUUCUCCAUGGGAUCUUUCAAAAAUGAAAAAACAAACCCAGGAGCAAGACUUGGGCAGCAGUUUAAAUAAUGGUUCCCUGCACAUCAGUUUAUUUCCUUGCAUUGGUUCUUUAUGUUAUAAGUCACACUUUCCUAUUUUGUCAAAGAAAGAGUGGACUCAUUCAUGGACUUCUACCAUAUAUAUUAACACUGGUAUGCUGAUCAACCCAGUGAUCCUCUGAUCCUAAAUCAUUUUCCGAGAAACACUAUGCUUUUCUCUAUAUCAAGGUAGUACUGUGUCAAAGUGAUGCUUCUUUGUGCUACAUUCAUCUAUUUAUUUGGAAGUUCGAACUAAUUUUGUGUUCAUUUUUACUUAUUGCAUGAUUCAUCUGUGUAAAACCAAGAAGAUGCCUCUUAAAUUUUGUGUAUUUCUGAAAUAUGUUCUUUUUAUCAUCAUCAGAUACAAAAAAAUUCCAUUUCAUGCCUAUUCCUAAUUUAUUAUUUUCUCUAGCUGCAAAAUUUUAUUAGGACUAUGAUUCUCACUUUUUGCGUAUGGAUGGAUAUGCAGAUUGAAAUUCAAGUUGCUCCAGGAUUCCUUGCUAAUGAACAGACAGGCGCAUAAAGUGACAAAUACCCAAUCUGAUUGAUAAGCUGGCUGUCCAUGUACACACAAUAUUCAAUUUUUUAGUCUAUGUGAGGAAGUGAAAGCAUCUGUGAGUGCAUGUAGAUAUAUUUUGUCAACCUUUUUUUUGGUUACCAAACUCCGGUGUGUAAGGUAUGAGAGGACCAUGUAAAAUUUCUUUUAAAAACGAUUUUCGUUAUGCGCACCUCUGCCCAGAUUGGGUAUGGUGGUACUAAAAAGUGAUGCUCUAA